UGGCUCAGUUUGUAAAGGGUCUGCCUGCAAUGCAGGAGACCCAGGUUCAAUUCCUGG
rnacentral:tRNA from 1 species